AUUGAACGCUGGCGGAAUGCUUUACACAUGCAAGUCGAGCGGCAGCGCGGGGCAACCUGGCGGCGAGCGGCGAACGGGUGAGUAAUGCAUCGGAACAUGUCCAUGUCGUGGGGGAUAGCCCGGCGAAAGCCGGAUUAAUACCGCAUACGCCCGAGAGGGGAAAGCAGGGGACCGCAAGGCCUUGCGCGAUUGGGUUGGCCGAUGUCCGAUUAGCUUGUUGGUGGGGUAAAGGCUUACCAAGGCGAUGAUCGGUAGCUGGUCUGAGAGGAUGAUCAGCCACACUGGGACUGAGACACGGCCCAGACUCCUACGGGAGGCAGCAGUGGGGAAUUUUGGACAAUGGGGGGCAACCCUGAUCCAGCCAUUCCGCGUGAGUGAAGAAGGCCU
rnacentral:rRNA from 1 species